ensembl:rRNA 5S_rRNA 5S ribosomal RNA
GUCUACAGCCAUGCCACCCUGAACAUGCUCAAUCUUGUCUGAUCUCGGAAACUAAGCAGGGUCGGGCCUGGUUAGUAUUUGGAAGGGAGAACACCUCAGAAUACCAGGUGCUAUAGGCA